rnacentral:rRNA from 1 species
UAUGGNUCAACCAUAGUGUGCUCUGGAAACUNUCUGACUUGAGUGCAGAAGGGGAGAGUGGAAUUCCAUGUGUAGCGGUGAAAUGCGUAGAUAUAUGGAGGANCACCAGUGGCGAAAGCGGCUCUCUGGUCUGUCACUGACGCUGAGGCUNGAAAGCGUGGGUAGCGAACAGGAUUAGAUACCCUGGUAGUCCACGCCGUAAACGAUGAGUGCUAGGUGUUAGGCCCUUUCCGGGGCUUAGUGCCGGAGCUAACGCAAUAAGCACUCCGCCUGGGGAGUACGACCGCAAGGUUGAAACUCAAAGGAAUUGACGGGGGCCCGCACAAGCGGUGGAGCAUGUGGUUUAAUUCGAAGCAACGCGAAGAACCUUACCAGGUCUUGACAUCCCGAUGCUAUUCUUAGAGAUAGGAAGUUACUUCGGUACAUCGGAGACAGGUGGUGCAUGGUUGUCGUCAGCUCGUGUCGUGAGAUGUUGGGUUAAGUCCCGCAACGAGCGCAACCCUUAUUGUUAGUUGCCAUCAUUAAGUUGGGCACUCUAGCGAGACUGCCGGUAAUAAACCGGAGGAAGGUGGGGAUGACGUCAAAUCAUCAUGCCCCUUAUGACCUGGGCUACACACGUGCUACAAUGGUCGGUACAACGAGUUGCGAGCCGGUGACGGCAAGCUAAUCUCUGAAAGCCGAUCUCAGUUCGGAUUGGAGGCUGCAACUCGCCUCCAUGAAGUCGGAAUCGCUAGUAAUCGCGGAUCAGCACGCCGCGGUGAAUACGUUCCCGGGCCUUGUACACACCGCCCGUCACACCACGAGAGUUUGUAACACCCGAAGUCGGUGAGGUANCCUUUUAGGG